GACGAACGCUGGCGGCGUGCUUAACACAUGCAAGUCGAACGGGAGUAUUGAAGAAGCUUGCUUUAGAGAUACUUUAGUGGCGGACGGGUGAGUAACGCGUGAGGAGCUGUCCUAUGCAGGGGGACAACAGCUGGAAACGGCUGCUAAUAACCCCAUAAGCCGAGAGGUAAAAGGAUCAAUCCGGCAGAGGAGGUACUCGCGUCCUAUCAGCUAGUAGGUGAGGUAACGGCUCACCUAGGCGAAGACGGGUAGCCGGCCUGAGAGGGCGAACGGCCACACUGGAACUGAGAUACGGUCCAGACUCCUACGGGAGGCAGCAGUGGGGAAUAUUGGGCAAUGGGGGAAACCCUGACCCAGCGACGCCGCGUGGGUGAAGAAAUCCUUCGGGAUGUAAAGCCCUGUUGUAUGGGAAGAGCGGAAGACGGUACCAUACGAGGAAGCCCCGGCAAACUACGUG
rnacentral:rRNA from 1 species